GCAUAUUAACAAAAUUAUGUGGAAUAAAGCUAUCAACUUUUCAUAAUUAUAAAUAUAUAUUUUAACAUUUUUAAACAAUCAUAAAUUGUAACGUUACAUUUGAUAGCAUAUGUUUCAUCUCUUGAUGUGUGUUUGUAUGUGUAUGUGGUGUGUGUGUGUGUGUAUGCGUGUGUGUGUGUGUGUGUGU